rnacentral:ncRNA from 1 species
AAUAGGUUCGCUUGACGGCGAUGAAAAGGGAAACGAGUGAAAAUCUUGUACAGUCCCGCUGCUGUGAGCUGUCCUUUAUGGGGCGAGCACAUGCCACUGAGUACUUUGCUCGGGAAGGCGUUCGCCACCAGACAGUGUAGUCAGAAGACCUGCCUGUUGUG